rnacentral:rRNA from 1 species
GACGAACGCUGGCGGCGUGCUUAACACAUGCAAGUCGAACGGAAAGGCCCCUUUGGGUUUACUCGAGUGGCGAACGGGUGAGUAACACGUGAGUAACCUGCCCUUGACUUCGGGAUAACUUCAGGAAACUGGGGCUAAUACCGUAUAGGAAUCCUUGCUGCAUGGUGGGGGUUGGAAAGCUUCGGCGGUUUUGGAUGGACUCGCGGCUUAUCAGCUUGUUGGUGGGGUAGUGGCUUACCAAGGCUUUGACGGGUAGCUGGCCUGAGAGGGCGACCGGCCACAUUGGGACUGAGAUACGGCCCAGACUCCUACGGGAGGCAGCAGUGGGGAAUAUUGCACAAUGGGCGGAAGCCUGAUGCAGCAACGCCGCGUGCGGGAUGACGGCCUUCGGGUUGUAAACCGCUUUCAGCAGGGGCGAAGCUUGUGGUGACGGUACCUGCAGAAGAAGCACCGGCUAACUACGUG